UUUCUAAAGAGAUCCAGUUUGUGUUUUUGCUAUUCUUAUCUUGAUUCUGUUUUAAUGGAAAGGAAUCCCUUAUAUCAAUAAUCAAUUUUAUUGCUUCUGCAGACUAUUUUUUUCCUGGAUGGAAGCGGAAUAUAACUUUUCUACCAAGCAGGAAUUCGUCCACACCCAGAUGACAAAAAGCAAAGGCCGAAGAAACUGGAUCUCAAACCACACGGCAGGUCUAAGUUUUUCUGGUUCCAAAUCCGAUGAACCCAGAUGAAAGGGGAUAGAAGAUAGAAGAAGUCAGAUUAGUUUUAUCAACAAGAAUCUGAAAAUGAUCUUUUUUUUUUGUGGAUGGAAGAGAAAUGUUGUUUACUGCCAAAAAAAAAUCUGAAAAUAGUCUAUGAAGAAGUCAAAGGGCAAACAAAAAUGGAAAACAACUAGAUGGGGGUCAUUGCUUCUCAAACUGUUUCUGAAUUUGACCAUGUUUCUGGAUGGAAGUGAGAUAAUUGUUACCCACUAAGCAGGAGGAGUUCCAGCUUGCAUUGUUCAAGUCGAACAAAAAGGAGAGUUUAUUUGCAGAUUGGGUAUUUGACUUGUUUGAAACAAAGCCACAAUGUGGAUACUAGUUGUUGAAGAGUUUGUCCGUGCCCUUUUCUGUGUUUCACCCCAAUGCACCCAUUGACGAUAAGAUUGAAAUUGCAAUCUGCUACAAAAUGCAAAUGAAGAAUUGAGAAACUGCAGAAGAGAGUCUUAUAGAGUGUUAAUUUAAUUCUAUUAUCUACAAUUAUAUAUAUAUAUAUAUAUUUUUUUUUUUUGGGGUUAGAAAUUAUUGUAGAAUAAUAUUGUAAAUAAUAAAAGAUAGAUUUUUUGGGUUGGGGAGGAAGAAGAUUGCUGGGAUUUGCCAGGUCUCUUCCUCUAUCUAGUCUCUGCUAGCUGUGGGUGUGUGGUAAGGUGUGUGUCCCCUUUCUCUCUCUUUCACUUCCCCUCCAAUUUCUAUUUACUUUCCUCUCUAUGCUUUCUCUUUUCUCUUUCUCUAUUUUUCCCUCUUGACUUUCUGUCUGUUUUCUCUCUUCCUUUUAUUUCUCUGCUUUCUCUUUCAUUUUCUCUCUUCAUUUCUUUUCUGCUUUUCUCUGUCUAUAUAUUUCUACCGACUUUGUUUUAGUUUAUCUCCUCUGCUUAUGCUUUUUAUCUUUUCACUUUUCUUGUUAUUACAAUUCUUUUCUAUUUUCUCAAAUUAAUUUCUCUUUGCA